rnacentral:misc_RNA from 1 species
CAACCCUUAAGCCUAGCUUAGUGUUGGGAGUCUACUAAGUGGUAACUUGUUACCCUGUAGUUCCUAAAAUGAAACGGCGGAUCUGCAGUAUCCUCUGAGCGUAGUAAAUUUUUAUCUCGCUUUUGUCAGGUGCUGUGGCUCUUGCCGCUAAACCCCCAAUUUUUAAUGG